GAAAUGCGAUAAGUAGUGUGAAUUGCAGAAUUCAGUGAAUCAUCGAAUCUUUGAACGCACAUUGCGCCCCUUGGUAUUCCAUGGGGCAUGCCUGUUCGAGCGUCAUUUGUACCCUCAAGCUCUGCUUGGUGUUGGGUGUUUGUCCCCGUCUCCGCGCGUGGACUCGCCCCAAAGUGAUUGGCAGCCGGCGUACUGGUCCCGGAGCGCAGCACAUGUCGCGCAAACGAGUGCCUUGGUACGGCGGCGUCCAUAAGCCCCUCUCUCACGCUCUUGACCUCGGAUCAGGUAGGGGUACCCGCUGAACUUAAGC
rnacentral:misc_RNA from 1 species